ACGGCCCCAUCACAUUGAAACACUAGCUCCCGUACGAUCAAUAAAGUUAAGCAAUGUUGAUCCUGGUCAGUACUUAGAUGGGUGAUUGCUUGGAAAUGUCAAGUGCUGU